rnacentral:rRNA from 1 species
ACUGCUCAGUAACACGUGGCUAAUCUGCCCUUGGGACCGGAACACCCCCGGGAAACUGGGGCUAAUUCUCGAUAGGUGAAGAACUCUGGAAUGAGUCUUUGCCAAAAAGACGUUUACGUUAUGCUCGUAGGCGUCGCCCAAGGAUGAGGCCGCGACCGAUCAGGUUGUUGGUGAGGUAAUGGCUCACCAAGCCUUUUACCGGUGCGGGCCGUGAGAGCGGGAGCCCGGAGAUGGGCACUGAGACAAGGGCCCAGGCCCUACGGGGCGCAGCAGUCGCGAAAACUUUGCAAUACACGAAAGUGUGACAGGGCUAUCCCGAGUGCCAUCCGCCGAGGAAGGCUUUUACCCAGUCUAGAACGCUGGGGGAAUAAGGAGAGGGCAAGUCUGGUGUCAGCCGCCGCGGUAAUACCAGCUCUCCGAGUGGUGUGGAUGUUUAUUGGGCCUAAAGCAUCCGUAGCUGGCUGAGUUAGUCCCUUGUUAAAUCCACCGAAUUAAUCGUUGGAUUGCGGGGGAUACUGCUCGGCUAGGGGACGAGAGAGGCAGACGGUAUUUCCGGGGUAGGGGUGAAAUCCUAUAAUCCCGGGAAGACCACCAGUGGCGAAGGCUGUCUGCUAGAACGCGCCCGACGGUGAGGGAUGAAAGCUGGGGGAGCGAACCGGAUUAGAUACCCGGGUAGUCCCAGCUGUAAACGAUGCAGGCUAGGUGUUUGGACGGCCACGUGCCGUUCUAGUGCCGCAGGGAAGCUGUUAAGCCUGCCGCCUGGGGAGUACGAUCGCAAGAUUGAAACUUAAAGGAAUUGGCGGGGGAGCAC